UACAGAGGUGGCAAGCGUUGUUCGGAAUUAUUGGGCGUAAAGCGCGUGUAGGCGGCUUUGCAAGUCGGGUGUGAAAGCCCUCAGCUUAACUGAGGAAGUGCGCCCGAAACUGCAGAGCUUGAAUACCGGAGAGGAUGGCGGAAUUCCCCAAGUAGAGGUGAAAUUCGUAGAUAUCGGGAGGAACACCAGUGGCGAAGGCGACUACCUGGCCUGUUCUUGACGCUGAGGCGCGAAAAGCUAGGGGAGCAAACGGG
rnacentral:rRNA from 1 species